CUGGCUCAGGAUGAACGCUAGCGGCAGGCUUAACACAUGCAAGUCGAGGGUACAGGGCGUAGCAAUACGCUGCUGACGACCGGCGCACGGGUGCGUAACGCGUAUGCAACCUACCUGUAACAGGGGGAUAACGGAGACGAAAUUUCCACUAAUACCCCAUAUUGUCUGGGAGCUGCAUGGUUUCAGACGAAAGCUUUGGUGGUUACGGAUGGGCAUGCGUGACAUUAGGUAGUUGGCGGGGCAACGGCCCGCCAAGCCGACGAUGUCUAGGGGAGCUGAGAGGCUGGACCCCCACACUGGUACUGAGACACGGACCAGACUCCUACGGGAGGCAGCAGUGAGGAAUAUUGGUCAAUGGGAGGAAUCCUGAACCAGCCAUGCCGCCGUGAGGGAGGAAGGCCCUAUGGGUUGUAAACCUCUUUUGCCUCGGGGCAAUAAGGUUCAUGCGUGGACCGAUGAGAGUACGAGGCGAAUAAGCAUCGGCUAACUCCGUGCCAGCCGCCGC
rnacentral:rRNA from 1 species